AGACAUUUAGGUUAUAUUUAAACUCUAAACCUUCAAAGUUUAAUAAAGAUUUUUUUUCUAAUGUUGU
rnacentral:tRNA from 1 species